GGCCCUGAAGCUGAAAGUUCUAGGGACAUUUUUUGUGAGUUUGUGUCACAGUAUUUGGAGACUAAUGAAGACAUUUAGAUAUAAAAGUAUCUUUACGAUGCAGGGAAGCACUAGGAAUGCAGUGAGUUAAGGUAGUUGGUGUAAAAAGACGAGCAGAGUUAAAGGUAGAUGUCCCAAAACACGAGGGAUCAGGUGUCCCACCAGCUUGGCAGGCAUAGAAAUGCCCUACAAGUAAACAACAGCUGAUUAGGCCUUCGGAAACUCCUUUACUUCAUACAUCUAGUGAAGAAAUGAAGUGAAAAGUUUUCCAUCCCAAGUCCAAGUUGCAAAGAAGAGCGGAUAUUUUGACUCUUAGACAAGUGUCAGUACAUUCAUCCUCAUGUGGUCAUAAAAAAGGCUAAGAAAUACGGCCACAGCUGUUGUAUGAGACAAUAGCAAUCCAAGGCAUUUGGAAAUGAGUCAGCCAAAAUAAAAAAAAAAUAUUUAUAAACAAUAUUAAUACUCCAAAAAUAGUUUCUCAUUUUCCUGCAUUGUUUCUCAGCCUGGGAAAGGGACUUAUGCUGUGUGUAUGUGCUUUUCCCACAGUAACUCUGAAUGUCUUCAUCAGCUGCUGCUGGCAACACCCUGACAAAGUAUCUGCCACCCAGAAAACCACAUACUGUUUUCCAUGGUCUGAGAAUAGCCACUUGCUUGUUUCUCAACUAGUGAAGAAAUUUGUGUCAUCCCUUACAUCUUGCAAAAUCUGGAUCAGAAAGGCCAUUGCAGGAGACAGGUAAAUUCUCUUCCAGCUGUUAACAAACA
rnacentral:lncRNA from 1 species